AACGAACGCUGGCGGCAUGCCUAACACAUGCAAGUCGAACGAGACCUUCGGGUCUAGUGGCGCACGGGUGCGUAACGCGUGGGAACCUGCCCUUAGGUUCGGAAUAACUCCCCGAAAGGGGUGCUAAUACCGGAUAAUGUCUUCGGACCAAAGAUUUAUCGCCUUUGGAUGGGCCCGCGUUGGAUUAGCUAGUUGGUAGGGUAAAAGCCUACCAAGGCGACGAUCCAUAGCUGGUCUGAGAGGAUGGUCAGCCACACUGGGACUGAGACACGGCCCAGACUCCUACGGAAGGCAGCAGUGGGGAAUAUUGGACAAUGGGCGAAAGCCUGAUCCAGCAAUGCCGCGUGAGUGAUGAAGGCCUUAGGGUUGUAAAGCUCUUUUACCCGGGAUGAUAAUGACAGUACCGGGAGAAUAAGCUCCGGCUAACUCCGU
rnacentral:rRNA from 1 species